ensembl:lncRNA
GUCGCACAGAGUUGGGCACAACUGAAGCGACUUAGCAGCAGCAGCAGCAGGAUUAGAGGGCUUAGACAUCAGUAUAGCAUCCUGACUACAUAAAUUAAUAAGCUGAGGCCCAGCAGCCCCCAGGGCAAUGGUGAGUGUGGGUCUCCACAUCCUAGCCACCACCCUGAAAUGCUAAUGAGGAAGGGAUUCCCUCGAAUAAACUAGGUUGCUCAAAUUGACUCAUACCCUCACUUAUCAGAAACCAAAUUUCCAAGAUUUUAGCACUUUCUGUGGGGGGAAAAAAAAAGGCAAAUAAAUCAUUCCAGUUUCAUGUAAAUUGCAUAAAUACUCUAGAAAACUGAGUUGGCCUCUAGAGUGUUCUGUUGGUAUUUAGACAUUUGCCAUAAAGUUUCGAUAAAGAAGAUAACAUGCUGUCUUUCUUAUUGUAAAGCAGAUACCCCAGACCUUUCUUUUUUAAAACAGCAAGAAAGGGCUUCCCUGGCCCUCCCUCACUCACACUCAGACUCCAAGGCCUUGCUUCCAUGGAAAAUGGACACAAGAGUGAGAGGAGUUGGGAAGGAAUUUUUGGUGUCCAUGGCUUAGGCUUGGAUACUGUGGUUCUUCAGGCAAGCUGCACACUCUCUCUCAGCUUCAUUUCCUCAUGCAUGAGGAGGGCCAGUCAUGCCUUUCCCAGUAUUUGCAGUUCAGCAAGGCAAUGCCGCUGUAGCAUAGCCACCCAGUGUGCCUGUGCCCUGCUGGAGCCCUGCCCACCAAGGGCCUCCUCUCCGAUCAUGAGAAUUUCAGCGGCAGAAAUUUUCUCACCAACACGCACUGCAAGCUUUAUUAAGUUCACCCACUCUUUUCAUCCUCGUGACAGCCGUGUAAGGAAACGAGGUCCAGAGGGCUGUUUCAGUCCUCAGCGUGUUUCCUGGAGGAUGUGUGAAUGACACUGGGCUACCUUCUCCACCCCCCUUCCAAUCCUGCACUGCUGAUAUGGUGGCCCAGGGGUCUGUGAACUAUCAAGCCUUUCACACGCCCAGCCUUCUGAAAGGUGGGCACACUUCUUCCCUCUCCUCGAGAGCCUGAACCCAGAAAUGGAGACUGCCCCCACUUCUCCCAGAAGACCACAGGGGCUUCAUUCAAGCCUUCCCUGGUAUUCCAGAUUUCCCAGAAGGUGCAGGAGGUUUGACCACCAUGGACAUUCUCUGUAGACAGCCUGGCAUCACCCAGCUUAACUGUAGGGAGGACACAGGACACGCCAAGGACUUCUAGUGUUAAGACCCCGUGGUUACCAAUCAGGACUGCACAUUAGAAUCACCUGGGGAGAAUAAAUCAGGCGCUGAGUCCCCACCCCCAACCAUGACCAAUUAUAUUAGAACAUCUAAGGGUGAGACCCACGUGAUGUUAACCGCCUGUGGAGAGGGCAGGAUUUAUGUCUUUGGCUUCUCAUCUCGUUGGCCAUGUCUCUGGCCCCUUACUCCAGGCCAGCCCCAUUCUGGAAGGCUCAGCUGGACCAGAGGAGGAGGAAGAGGCUGGAGUUCUUGGGCUGGGAGUGACCAGUCAAGACUGCUUCUUUUCCACCCGCUCCCCUGGUCCUCACCUGCAGGUGAACAGGAGCAAUUUAAGAGAGAAGUGAAAAGGCCCAUCACUUAUUUAACCUACAGCUAAAUUAAGAGCUGGAGUUGAGGUGGUUUCUUGUGUCUGUUCAUGACAAGCUCUGCGAGGAGAGGCAUGCUAGGUUCUAGAUGGCAGAGGUCAGUGAAGCCAGGAUUAAACCAAGAAAGAGGCUGAGCUGAGGCACUUGCUGGGCUUAACCCAGGAGUCCCCACCAUAAAUGGAAUCUGGGAGUCCAACUUAUAGGGCAGCAGCUGCCCCAGUUCUAGCAUCCUUGGCAUACGGGUGGACUGUGCCCUCCCCUGGUUUGAUUCCUGGUGGAGGACCGCUGGGGUGGGAUGGGACUUAGGCCCUCCUGCUCCUCCUGCCCAAAUUCCAUCUUCCCUGGACAGCACAUCAUCUCCUUUCAUUCUGAGAACAACUCUGGGGUGGAUGGUAUUAGCCCCCAACUGGCAGUUGAGGAAACUGAGGCACAGAGAGGUUAAGACCCCAGCUUGUGAGUGGGAGAGCUCCCCAGAGCUGUGAUGUCUCUGGUGCUCCGGGUGAACUUGGCCCUCCAGGGGUGUCAGGGNNNNNNNNNNNNNNNNNNNNNNNNNNNNNNNNNNNNNNNNNNNNNNNNNNNNNNNNNNNNNNNNNNNNNNNNNNNNNNNNNNNNNNNNNNNNNNNNNNNGUGAUGUCUCUGGUGCUCCGGGUGAACUUGGCCCUCCAGGGGUGUCAGGGAUGUGGACAGGCAACCCCCUGCACCCACCCCAAACCCAACAUUCCCCCACCCUGAUCCCAGUGCCCCUUCUGAACCUCUUCUCAGGGGUGGAGGCAUCCAGGCCCCAGGAGCAGUGAUGAAAAUCCUGGAGAGAAGGGCGCUGUGGUUGCUGCCACACUAA